GUAGGGUGCGAGCGUUAUCCGGAUUUACUGGGCGUAAAGGGUUGCGUAGGCGGUUUAUUAAGUCAAAACUCAUAUCUUCCAGCCUAACUGGAAAUCGGGUUUUGAUACUAAUAGACUUUGAGUAUCGGAGAGGUAGCCGGAACUUGCAGUGGAGAGGUGAAAUUCGUUGAUAUUGCAAGGAACACCGAUGGCGUAGGCAGGCUACUGGUCGAUUACUGACGCUGAUGCACGAAAGCUAGGGGAGCAAAAGGGAUUAGAGACCCCUGUAGUCCUAGCCGUAAACGAUGGACACUAGCUGAUUGCUUUUUUAGGUGAUUGGCGUAAGCUAACGCGUUAAGUGUCCCGCCUGGGGAGUACGGCCGCAAGGCUA
rnacentral:rRNA from 1 species